GAUUUGCAGCGGACCCAGAUGCGGAGAGAUGGAGAACACGUGUACCGUCUUCAGAUAACUGGAAAUAAUGGCAAAGCUAGCACUUGAGUUUGAGGUCGGAAUUGGCCAUUUGGCAAGGAAAUGGAAUUUUGGGACCAACCUGCGGACUCCGUUGAAAUCACCGCGCUCGACCAGCAGCAAAUAUCGUUUCUCUUCGUUUUUCAGGAUCGACUCGACGGGCGGGCCCAUUACAAACUGCGGAUCUUCUUUGAUACUUAUCUGUCGCAUGGUCACAAGGUAAUAAAAGGCGAUACUUACACAUGAUGAUGGCCUACCAUCCAGGAUCGGACGGACUCGUUGGAUUGUCCGAGCGGCCAGCUGGCGUGCCGGGCUACUGAAGGCUCUGCAAAACUCGUCCACAUACUUCCUCGUUUUUCGGUGGAAUCAUUCGGCUAUUUUCGACUAACUAAUCUUGUUAGGCGUCAGCUCUAUCUACACACACAACAUACUCUCCUGUGUGUUAGUUUUAGAAUUUUGCCAUUCUUCUUUGUCCCGAUGUUUCACUUAAAAGGAUUACUCUCUAUGGUGGUGGCUUCUAUCAGAACACGUAUAGAUAUUCCCGGCUGCCCUUCAAAAACAGUGGCCCCUCUCAAUCUGCUGUCCGGCUAUAUUUUUGUCCUUCCUAUAUGUACAUCGUUUGAUUUAUCACGAUCGAAAUUAUUGAUGUAUUCGUCCAUUUUGGUAUCUUUUCCGGGGAAAUCUGGAAAAGGGGGGGCACAGUUAUGCGCUUAUAAAAUGCUGCUGCUUUGUUUUGUUAUUAUUAUUAUUUUUUCUUUUAUAUGUACUUCCUUCUUCUCAUGUCGUUCGUGAUCGAUUUUAUAUCAGUUACACCCGGUGGGGUAUAUGUAUAUAGUAGCCUAUAGGAGAUGGCUCCUCCAUGUCAAGGCUUAUUCUUUUUGAGUAGAUCCAUCCACGACAUGGUUAUACGGCUGAGAAUGAUGAGACGAAUUUGUAUGCGGUUUGGAAGGGUGGAGUAACUCGAGUAUCUGCAUGGACACAUCACAGCGAAACCUACAUGUAUACAGGCGGGCUGUGGGCCGGCCUAUCAAUUCACGUUCGCCGACCGUGACGGAACGUGAAGCUACAUAUAGUCUGGAGUAGUAAUAAUAGUCUGCAUCGCCGCUGAUCACGUCUAUAGCCUAUACAUAUGAACUAUUUUGCCGCUCUCUUUUGUGGCUGCUGCUACCGCACAACAAAAAGAAGGGACCUAAUAUCGAUCCAUCGCCCGGCUCGCCUUUCUAUUUUCAGGAUAUCCACUCACUUGCUGUACAGUACAGUUACAUCCUCUACAUACAUGCGUCCAUGUAAAUUUCUCUUGUCGCUGAUAUUUGUGAUAAAUUUACCGAGACAUUCAGAACGUUUCACGCACGGAUCGUCCAGUUUCUCCCAAGGCCGGAAGGGAGAAAGUUUAUUUAUACUGACAAUUAAGUAUUUAAAUGCAUUUAAAUGUGUGGAAGGAGUUGAAUA